GACGAACCGUACGAACGUUAUUCGGAAUUACUGGGCUUAAAGGGUGCGUAGGUGGCGCUGUAAGUCGGGUGUGAAAUUUCGGAGCUUAACUCCGAAACUGCAUUCGAUACUGCGGUGCUUGAGGACUGGAGAGGAGACUGGAAUUCAUGGUGUAGCAGUGAAAUGCGUAGAGAUCAUGAGGAAGACCAGUGGCGAAGGCGGGUCUCUGGACAGUUCCUGACACUGAGGCACGAAGGCCAGGGGAGCAAACGGG
rnacentral:rRNA from 1 species